UCAGGAUGAACGCUGGCGGCGUGCCUAAUACAUGCAAGUCGAACGAGGUAGCAAUACCGAGUGGCGAACGGGUGAGUAACACGUAGGUAACCUGCCCUUAAGCUUGGGAUACCCAGAGGAAACUUUGGCUAAUACCGGAUAACAACAGAGAAGGCAUCUUCUUUGCUUGAAAGGCCCCUUCAAGGGUCACUUAAGGAUGGACCUGCGGCGCAUUAGCUAGUUGGUGAGAUAACAGCCCACCAAGGCGAGGAUGCGUAGCCGAACUGAGAGGUUGAUCGGCCACAUUGGAACUGAGACACGGUCCAAACUCCUACGGGAGGCAGCAGUAAGGAGUUUUCGGCAAUGGGGGGAAACCCUGACCGAGCAACGCCGCGUGAGCGAUGACGGCCCUAUGGGGUUGUAAAGCUCUGUUGUAAGCCAUGAAUGAUAGCUUGAGGAAAUGCAAGUUAUUUGACGACAGCUUACCAGAAAGCCACGGCUAACUACGUGCCAGCCGCCGC
rnacentral:rRNA from 1 species